rnacentral:lncRNA from 1 species
GCCAUCUUCCAAAAGCCACGAACCUCAGGAAGAGCUAGCCUUUGGGAUGUGCCCAUUUGGGGUGGGAGGAGGGAAUAAAGCAAAGAACACCAGACCCAGCUCAAGGAAACCACGGACCUGAACAAAAACCACCACCAGAAGUUUUUUUUCUACGAACUGGAAAGAAGUCUCCUUAUUUUUGUAGCGUGCAGGCGCUGUGGCCCAUCUUGUCAGGACCAGAGGGGUAUUUUAAGCAGCGAUGCCUGUGGGACCAGAAGGGAAAAGCCAGACUCCCUGUGGAAUGCAGUCCAGCCUCCUCUGAAGGGACAAGAAUUAGCCGUAGCCACUUCCCCGCUUCGGUGGCCCAAGUGCCGUUUCCCACAGCCCCUCAUCCGGGGGGCCGGGUUCUUGGCCGGUCCCUCUCGGACACAUGCCGCUGCCAGGGCUCUGCGUGAGUUGGUGAGCUUUGGAUGCUCUCCCUGCCCCCCUCUCGUGAUGGUGAGUUUCGUAUGAAGUUGGAGCCGCUGCUUCCCGUCGCCCUUGUCUUCUGCGCCAUUAAUGUUUACAUUUUGAUAUGCAUGUGUGCGAUUUCUGGGGUUACAUGCUUGCCUCGGUUGUGCUGAGAAUCCUGGGCACCAAGCCUUUUUACAUGUCGAAUUUAUAGACCUGUACAGUUUGCGUUGCUGCUGAUGAAAGACAGUGUCACGUUGCCAGCCUGUGUCGAGUGUGAUUUUUCUAAUGUGACCAAAGCCUUUGAGUAGUGUCCCCCUUUUCCCUUCCCUGCCCCCACCCCCAGGCUUCUAGGUCUGUUGGGCCUCAUGCCUUUGCUCAUUUCCCUGAGGUCUGUCCUCUCCCUGUCACCCAAAGACAGGCUUCCCUCUGCACAGAAGACAGAGGUCACCCUGCCCGUUUCAUCACUAGCUGGCCACAGUGCAUGCCUUGUCCCCCCAUCUCCAUUCGCAGAAGCCUGGGAGCAUUUUCUGGGUUUUUGAUUGAAUAAAAAAUUAAGACAAAAAAGAGAAGCA